UACAGAGGUCUCAAGCGUUGUUCGGAUUCAUUGGGCGUAAAGGGUGCGUAGGUGGCGGGGUAAGUCAGGUGUGAAAUUUCGGAGCUUAACUCCGAAACUGCAUUUGAUACUGCCUUGCUUGAGGACUGGAGAGGAGACUGGAAUUCACGGUGUAGCAGUGAAAUGCGUAGAUAUCGUGAGGAAGACCAGUGGCGAAGGCGGGUCUCUGGACAGUUCCUGACGCUGAGGCGCGAAGGCCAGGGGAGCAAACGGG
rnacentral:rRNA from 1 species